rnacentral:rRNA from 1 species
GUGUCAGCAGCCGCGGUAAUACGUAGGGGGCAAGCGUUGUCCGGAUUUACUGGGCGUAAAGAGCGCGUAGGCGGGAGCGUAAGUGUGGCUUGAAAGCCCCCGGCUCAACCGGGGAGGGGGGCUGCAAACUGCGCUUCUUGAGGGCGAUAGAGGCGAGUGGAAUUCCUGGUGUAGCGGUGAAAUGCGUAGAGAUCAGGAGGAACACCCAUGGCGAAGGCAGCUCGCUGGGUCGGCCCUGACGCUGAGGCGCGAAAGCGUGGGGAGCGAACGGGAUUAGAUACCCCUGUAGUCC